rnacentral:rRNA from 1 species
AUUGAACGCUGGCGGCAUGCUUUACACAUGCAAGUCGAACGGCAGCGCGGGCUUCGGCCUGGCGGCGAGUGGCGAACGGGUGAGUAAUACAUCGGAACGUGCCCAGUAGUGGGGGAUAGCUCGGCGAAAGCCGGAUUAAUACCGCAUACGACCUGAGGGUGAAAGCGGGGGAUCUUCGGACCUCGCGCUAUUGGAGCGGCCGAUGGCAGAUUAGCUAGUUGGUGGGGUAAAGGCCUACCAAGGCGACGAUCUGUAGCUGGUCUGAGAGGACGACCAGCCACACUGGGACUGAGACACGGCCCAGACUCCUACGGGAGGCAGCAGUGGGGAAUUUUGGACAAUGGGCGAAAGCCUGAUCCAGCGAUGCCGCGUGUGUGAUGAAGGCCUUCGGGUUGUAAAGCACUUUUGGCGGGAACGAAAAGGACUGUGCCAAUACCACGGUUCGAUGACGGUACCCGCAGAAUAAGCACCGGCUAACUACGUG